AUUGAACGCUGGCGGCAGGCCUAACACAUGCAAGUCGAGCGGAGCGGCUGACGGAUGAGUAAUGCCUAGGAAUCUGCCUGGUAGUGGGGGAUAACGUACGGAAACGGGAGCUAAUACCGCAUACUAUAAGCUGCGACUCGGUCGGAUUAGAUAGUUGGUGGGGGAAGGGCCUACCAAGGCGACGAUCCGUAACUGGUCUGAGAGGAUGAUCAGUCACACUGGAACUGAGACACGGUCCAGACGCCUACGGGAGGCAGCAGUGGGGAAUAUUGGACAAUGGGCGAAAGCCUGAUCCAGCCAUGCCGCGUGUGUGAAGAAGGUCUUCGGAUUGUAAAGCACUUUAAGUUGGGAGGCGUUACCAACAGAAUAAGCACCGGCUAACUUCGUGCCAGCAGCCGCGGUAAUUC
rnacentral:rRNA from 1 species